CAUUGGGACUGAGACACGGCCCAAACUCCUACGGGAGGCAGCAGUAGGGAAUCUUCGGCAAUGGACGAAAGUCUGACCGAGCAACGCCGCGUGAGUGAAGAAGGUUUUCGGAUCGUAAAACUCUGUUGUUAGAGAAGAACAAGGAUGAGAGUAACUGUUCAUCCCUUGACGGUAUCUAACCAGAAAGCCACGGCUAACUACGUGCCAGCAGCCGCGGUAAUACGUAGGUGGCAAGCGUUGUCCGGAUUUAUUGGGCGUAAAGCGAGCGCAGGCGGUUUCUUAAGUCUGAUGUGAAAGCCCCCGGCUCAACCGGGGAGGGUCAUUGGAAACUGGGAGACUUGAGUGCAGAAGAGGAGAGUGGAUUCCAUGUGUAGCGGUGAAAUGCGUAGAUAUAUGGAGGAACACCAGUGGCGAAGGCGGCUCUCUGGUCU
rnacentral:rRNA from 1 species